rnacentral:tRNA from 1 species
GCGGACAUGGCGGAAUGGCAGACGCGUAUGGCUUAGGACCAUAUAUCGCAAGGUGUGGGGGUUCAAGUCCCUCUGUCCGCA